AUAUCAAUAAGCGGAGGAAAAGAAACUAACAAGGAUUCCCCUAGUAACGGCGAGUGAAGAGGGAAGAGCCCAAGAUUGAAAGCUGGCGUCUUCGGCGUCCGCAUUGUAAUCUCAAGAAGUGUUUUCCGCYUCGGACCAUGCCUAAGUCCCUUGGAAAAGGGCAUCAUAGAGGGUGAUAAUCCCGUACAUGGCAUGGAGCGCCCGAAGCUUUGUGAUACGCUUUCUAAGAGUCGAGUUGUUUGGGAAUGCAGCUCAAAAUGGGUGGUAAAUGCCAUCUAAGGCUAAAUAUUGGGGAGAGACCGAUAGCGAACAAGUACAGUGAUGGAAAGAUGAAAAGAACUUUGAAAAGAGAGUUAAACAGUACGUGAAAUUGCCAAAAGGGAAGGGUAGGAGGUCAGAGAUGCGUUCUGGGAUUCAGCCUUGCUUUUGCUUGGUGUUUUUCGCAGAUUGCAGGCCAACGUCGGUUUUGGGCGCUGGAGAAGGGUGGAAGGAACGUGGCACCCCUCGGGGUGUGUUAUAGCCUUCUACUGGAUACAGUGACCGAGACCGAGGACAGCAGCGUACUCGCAAGAGCGGGCCUUCGGGCACCUUUACGCUUAGGGCGUUGGCAUAAUGGCCCUCUACCA
rnacentral:rRNA from 1 species